UUUGGCUCAGAAUGGAAGUUUUCAUGGGCUGAUCUGCUGUGUUCAGCCAGGAAGCCGAGCCCAACAUCGGAUUCUCAGCACACAGGCUCCAGAGGAGAAGUCUAAGCUAUGAAGACAAAAAGCAAAACAUUUGAACUCAGCAUCUUCCUGCUCCCUGACAGAGUCCACAACUGAAGUUGGUCCACUAAAAGAUACUACCUCACUCACCUUGUCUCUCCAAUAUCCUGGGACCAACCUGGUUACAAUGGAAGAUAUUGAAUGAUGCUGUUUGGAAUGGAAACUCCGCAGCAUAAAGAAAAAGGAACCCAUUGCAACAUCUGCUUCCCGAGCAAAUGCAAGAAAUGAAACAUCAUUCCCAGAGGACUCAGCAUAUGUUACCUGCUGACCACUACAAACAACUCCCAAUAUGCUGAACAGCUCUGUAGAAGGACUUCAGAAAAACUAGGGCACCAUCUCCUCCACCUCACAUACUCCAAAACAGCCAUCAAAAACAUUUCAGAAGUUGGUCCCAAUAAAAGAUAUCACCUCACCCCUCCCUUGUCGCUCUAGAGUCCACACCACAUAUGCUGUGUCUUCCCGUCCAGCUAGAGUUCACAUGCAGUACUGCCAACCCUUCAGAUGAAAAAAAUCAUGAGUCAGCCCACUAAAAUUGGCCUUUGAAAGGUUCCAAAUUUACCACACUGGAUACUGACAUCUUCCAUUUAUCAACAAACUAAGAACAGCACAAAGAGAGCAGGCAGAAAUAGCCAAGCUCCAACAUGCAUAAUCCCUAAAUUAGAGGAACUAUCAAUGGGGCAAGAAAGUAGUUUAGGGCUUGUCUAUACUUAAAAGACUGCAGUGGCAACUGCGCCACUGUAGCGCUUCAGUGAAGACACCGACAGAAGGGCUUCUCUUGUCGGCAUGGGUGCAAGCGCUCCUGGUGAGGGGACACACCACCAACAGAAAGAGGGUAGUGUGGACAUGAAAAACAGCAGUAAUUACUGCAGUGGCUCUAAGUUAACCUAACAUAGGUCAACUUAAUUUGUAGUGUAGACACAUGGCCUUAGUACCUUUUCCAGACCUGAAGGA